GGGGUAUAGCUUAGUGGUAAAGCAGAGGCCUUUUAAGCCUUUGACGGGGGUUCGAUUCCCUCUACCC
rnacentral:tRNA from 1 species